GAUGAACGCUGGCGGCGUGCUUAACACAUGCAAGUCGAACGAGAAGUGAAGACGGAAACCUUCGGGCGGAAGGCUUUAUUUCGAGUGGCGGACGGGUGAGUAACGCGUGGGUAACCUGCCUCAUACAGGGGGAUAACAGUUGGAAACGACUGUUAAUACCGCAUAAGACCACAGCACCGCAUGGUGCGGGGUAAAAACUCCGGUGGUAUGAGAUGGACCCGCGUUCGAUUAGCCAGUUGGCGGGGUAACGGCCCACCAAAGCGACGAUCGAUAGCCGAUCUGAGAGGAUGACCGGCCACAUUGGGACUGAGACACGGCCCAAACUCCUACGGGAGGCAGCAGUGGGGAAUAUUGCACAAUGGGGGAAACCCUGAUGCAGCGACGCCGCGUGAGUGAAGAAGUAUUUCGGUAUGUAAAGCUCUAUCAGCAGGGAAGAAAAUGACGGUACCUGAGGAAGAAGCCCCGGCUAACUACGUG
rnacentral:rRNA from 1 species